UUCUGAUUGAUAACAUUUGAGUGAGUGGCGGACGGGUGAGUAACACGUGGGUAACCUGCCCUAAAGUGGGGGAUAACAUUUGGAAACAGAUGCUAAUACCGCAUAACAACUUGGACCGCAUGGUCCGAGUUUGAAAGAUGGUUUCGGCUAUCACUUUAGGAUGGACCCGCGGUGCAUUAGUUAGUUGGUGAGGUAAAGGCUCACCAAGACCGUGAUGCAUAGCCGACCUGAGAGGGUAAUCGGCCACACUGGGACUGAGACACGGCCCAGACUCC
rnacentral:rRNA from 1 species